rnacentral:rRNA from 1 species
UAAGCAUGUAGGCUGGUUAUCCAGGCAAAUCCGGAUAAUCAAGGCUGAGGUGUGAUGACGAGGCACUACGGUGCUGAAGUAACAAAUGCCCUGCUUCCAGGAAAAGCCUCUAAGCAUCAGGUAACAUCAAAUCGUACCCCAAACCGACACAGGUGGUCAGGUAGAGAAUACCAAGGCGCUUGAGAGAACUCGGGUGAAGGAACUAGGCAAAAUGGUGCCGUAACUUCGGGAGAAGGCACGCUGGUGUGUAGGUGAAGUCCCUGCGGAUGGAGCUGAGACCAG